rnacentral:sRNA from 1 species
GGAACUUUCGGACGGGCGCGGGCCCGG